AUUGAACGCUGGCGGCAUGCUUUACACAUGCAAGUCGAACGGUAACAGGCCGCAAGGUGCUGACGAGUGGCGAACGGGUGAGUAAUGCAUCGGAACGUGCCCAGUCGUGGGGGAUAACUACUCGAAAGAGUAGCUAAUACCGCAUACGAUCUAUGGAUGAAAGCGGGGGACCGUAAGGCCUCGCGCGAUUGGAGCGGCCGAUGUCAGAUUAGGUAGUUGGUGGGGUAAAGGCUCACCAAGCCAACGAUCUGUAGCUGGGUUGAGAGGACAACCGGCCACAUGGGGACGGGGAACGGGCCCGGCUCCUUAGGGGAGGCGGAGGUGGGGAAUUUGGGCAAAGGGGGGCAACCUUGUUCAAGCAAUGCCGGGUGCAGGAAGAAGGCCUUCGGUUGGUAAACUGCUUUUUUAGGGAACAAACCGGCUUUGUUAAAUACCCGGGGCAAUGGCCGGAACCGAAAGAUUAAGACCCGCCUACCUCGGG
rnacentral:rRNA from 1 species